rnacentral:lncRNA from 1 species
AGACGGCCCUAUCCCUGUCUCCCUUGGCUGACUCUCUUUUCGGACUCAGCCCGCCUGCACCCAGGUGAAAUAAACAGCCUUGUUGCUCACACAAAGCCUGUUUGGUGGUCUCUUCACACAAACGCGCAUGAAAUUUGGUGCCAUGACUCGGAUCGGGGUACCUCCCUUGGGAGAUCAAUCCCCAGUCCUCCUGCUCUUUGCUCCGUGAGAAAGAUCUACCUAGGACCUCAGGUCCUCAGACUGACCAGCCCAAGGAACAUCUCACCAAUUUCAAAUCUGGAACGCGCAUGAAAAAACCAAACAAACAAAAAAAUUUCUUUUGGUAGCAGAAUAAAAAAACAAAAAAAAGGACUUUUUCUUCUGGACUGAACUAUAUUUAAAUCUCAAAGGAUGGACAUCUCACAACCUUCCUACAGCAAGUACUGUGAGAGCUGCAUCUUGUCCCACUGGAUGGUCUUCAGAGACAAUAAUACAUAAUGGAGCUGUCAUCUCCUAUGAUAACAAUGCCUUCUUCUGGAUACCUCCUGAAGGACCUGCCUGAGGCUCUUUCACUGUUAGUUUUUUUUUAAUAAGUAGAAGGAUUACACUCUAAAAUAAUAAGUGUAGUAUAGUAAAUGUAUAAACCAGUAACAUAAUGGUUUAUUAUCAUUAUCAAGUAUUACAUACUGUACAAAAUUAUAUGUGCUACAAUUUUAUGUGACUGGCAGCACAGUAGGUUUGUUUAUACCAGCAUCACCACAAACACGUGAGUAAUAUGACACACCAUGAUAUUCUGACAACCAUGACAUCACUAGGCCAGGGAAUUUUUUAGGUCCAUUAUCAUCAUAGGCGACCACAGUUGUAUAUGUGAUGUGGUCUGUCAUUGACUAAAAUCUCAUUAUGACUGUAC